rnacentral:sRNA from 1 species
ACGGAGGCGGCGCCUGAAGCGGCGGCGGAGCCCAUGCCCCGGGACGGCGGGUGGGCCCGGAGAGACAAAUCCGGGGCCCGGGGCAUGUCCCCGGGGCCCCCGUGAGGAGGCGGCGGCGGCUAUGGAGAUCGCGCCGCAGGAGGCGCCGCCCGUGCCGGGCGCGGACGGCGACAUUGAAGAGGCCCCAGCUGAGGCCGGGUCUCCCAGCCCCGCGUCGCCCCCCGCCGAUGGGCGCCUCAAGGCUGCAGCCAAGCGCGUCACAUUCCCGUCCGACGAGGAUAUCGUGUCUGGAGCAGUGGAGCCCAAAGACCCCUGGAGACAUGGCUGGAGUGCAAUGGCGCGAUCUCAGGUCAUCACAACUUCCGCCUCCCAGGUUCAAGCGAUUCUGCCACAGCCUCCCGAGUUGCUGGGAUUACAGGCAUGCACCACCACACCCGGCUAAUUUUGUAUGUUUUGUAGAGACAGGAUUUCUCCAUGUUGGUCAGGCUGGUCUGUAACUCCCGACCUCAGGUGAUCCACCCGCCUUGGCCUCCCAAAGUCUGGGAUGACAGG